GCAUUACUGACGAGUCCCAUACUAGGACGAAAUGGUCAUCCAGUGC
rfam:Schistosoma mattheei strain Denwood, Zambia genome assembly, scaffold: SMTD_scaffold0009750